rnacentral:rRNA from 1 species
UCCCUACGGGGGGCAGCAGUGGGGGAUAUUGCACAAUGGGGGGAACCCUGAUGCAGCGACGCCGCGUGGGUGAAGGAGCGUUUCGGCGCGUAAAGCCCUAUCGGCAGGGAAGAAAAUGACGGUACCUGAGUAAGAAGCCCCGGCUAACUACGUGCCAGCAGCCGCGGUAAUACGUAGGGGGCAAGCGUUAUCCGGAUUUACUGGGUGUAAAGGGAGCGUAGACGGCAGUGCAAGUCUGGAGUGAAAGGCGGGGGCUCAACCCCCGGACUGCUCGGGAAAAUGUACG